GCCCAUCUAUUAAAUUAUCAUGAAGUUGAAAAUGAUAAAACCCAUAUCACAGCAGGCUUCCAGAAUAUCAUGCUCUAACUUUGCCUAUUUCCCUGAAUUUUAGCUAAGAAGUUACAAGUAGCACUGAUGAACACUCAGUAAAGGCCAUGUUUGCUACCUAGUUCCACCAUUACCUAGUGUUAAGUAUUGUUACAAGGCUGUAACUUUGUAUCCCCACAGCUAAUCUUCCAUUUUCAGCAUAAGUACAACAGUAACUACAAAUGAACUGCAAAUCAGAAUUAAAAUCAUUAUGAUUAUCUGUAAGAAGACAACACCUUGAAUCUAAUUCACAUAUACCUACUUCUGUAUUAAAAAGAAAAAGGAAAUCAGGUUAUAAAAGAUAGCUCAUAGUAACAGCCAGCUGUUUCUUAAAUGAUCACAGAGUUCUAUAAAGAUGAUAAUUUUGAAACCUCCUAUAUAAUCCUAAGUAUUUUUUUUUAUCAGCUAUGCAAGUAAAACCAUUUGUAUUUAUUCCAGAAGGAAAUAGAUAGAUAGAUAGAUAGAUAGAUAGAUAGAUAGAUAGAUAGAUAGAUAGAAAACACACAAGUUCCCAAUAUUACAUCGGCAUUCUGGAAAGUUGACUGAAGAGCACUACAUUUCAUUCAUCUCCUUGUGCAACCAUAUGAUAUCUACCUUCCUUUCAAAAGCGUAACAGGGACUAACUGUGGAUGGUUUCAGCAACAACAAAAAAAAUGAAUCAUCCAAGAAAAUAUUCACAUUUUUUUUAAUAGCUUCAUAAUGUCUGAUUUUUUGAAAGACAUUUAAAUGCCAUUACCUAUUUUGCUUGUUUUUGGUUUCUUUUUCUUUUUGACUUUUAAAAGAAAAUUACUCACUCUUAGACUAGCAUUUCUUACUGAAGUCAACAUUCUCCCUUGUUAAGAGUGAAGUUACUUUCCUCCCACAAUUUUCCCUCAUGAACUCCUUCAUCUGAGUUAUGAACAGUACGUAAUUUAAAUAAGUCAUAAAUGAGACCAGAAAAAAAAAAAAAAUCUGUUUCUUUCCUGCACACAUCACUUCUAUUUGUUUCAAGUGCAAAAGCCAAUGAUCACAAGUACAGAAUAUUUACACUGCAACCCAAUCCUCAUGGUCCAUGAUAUUUCUUUGUUAAACAGUGCAAAAAUCCUUACAGGCUUAUCAGAUCUUGACAGCUUUACAGGUCUUCUAGAAAGAUUUUGCCACAACAGGACAGUACUUUAAAAUCAGGCCUUUUAGACAAUGUUUAUCAAUGUAAGUCAAUGCGAAGUAAACUUUAUACUGCACUGAAGUCAUGCUCUCUGAGCCAUGGCCUUCAUCAGGCCAGACAAUUGUACGUACCCUGGUCUCCAAGAGACCUCCAAGUACAGCUAGAUUGCCUACAAAGGGAAAGCUCUGAGUGUUGUUCCAUAAUGGAUGUCAAGCUACAUCUCAGACAACAAGAACUAUUGUCUACCCCUAAGUUCCAGUAAGCAAGCACAUUCCUGAUACACCCUGCUGUGUUCACAGAUUAUGAAGGUUUAACAGUGUUCGCAAGUCACAAGCACUGCACACAAAUUAAUUGGGAAAAAAAUAAUAAUAAUAAUAAAACAAUUUUACAUUUCUUGCGGGACUGAGAAGAUAUGAGGAUAUAACAAAUCAGAGAUGUGCUUGGUAUAUUACAGCAGUUAGAUAUGCAGCCUGACAAGCAAGAAGAAGAGAGGAACGCAGAUGAAGUGUAAAGUCACAGCAGCCAAGUAGGUGUAUCUAUAAGCCAUUCAUCCCUCUUGCUUGCCUUUGUUACUAUUUGAGUCAAAAGCAAGCAAGAUGUUUGUCCCACUGAAUUCUAAGUCUACUCUGAUCUUAGAAAUUACCUAAUAUAUCAUCUACACAGCUGGGUUAUAUCUUCUAUUUGCCUUGCUCCCUCCCUCCAAGCAAAUCAAAUUGUAUAGUCCCUAUAAUGUAUAACCUAUCUCACUGCAAGGCCACAGAUAUCUAUACAGAUGCAAUGAUAAUUCAAUAUCUCAGAGAUAAGUUUCUGAGAAAAAUGCUUAGGAAGAUACUGGAAAUUGAGCAGUUGAUACAGAACAAAACAAGAAAUCAGCAUCUCGGCACUUUUUUUUUUUUUUUUUUUUUUUUUUUUUGAGAUUAUUGCUCACUACAAAAGACACAGUGACAGUCCACAUUUCAUGCUCUUUGAAACUUCAGUGCCUAUCACAAGGCUACAAAACAACUGUGUUAGCAUGAAAUUUCUGCUCUCCUUGCACUCAUAAAUGGCUUAUUGACUCAAGAUAUGGGUGCCAUGGUAGCAGAAUAGUUUCCUUUCCUCACAGAAAGUGAAAGAUAAAGCAAAUAUUCAGGAGUGUAUUGUAAGCAUACUAUCAAUGAUAUGAAUAAAAUAAUUCCGAUCACCAGUAUUGGAAAUUCUACCCUCAUCCUAAAGUGGCAUAUUACUGCCCAAAUCCUUCUGAAUCUGGUUAACUUGCUGAAGUACCAUUAAUAUGCUUCCAUACAGUAGCAUAGGAAAUGAAUUGUAUCUGGUCUGCAUGGAAGUCUUUAAAAUAUGCACAUAUUUAUCAGUCUUGCCCUACAUGCAUAAAUCUACCUAUACAAUUUCUGGAAAACACUGAUAAACAUUACUUAGAAGACAAGAAAUGCACAAAGAAAGAAAAGCAAUGAAUUUACACGGGAAUUUACUGCAUCUGCAGGUCAUACAAAUGAACCCAAUUUUUCCCACAAUUAAAUCCAUGGAGUUAUCAAGACAAUCAGUUUAUUUUAAGACUGUCAACCCCACAUAUAAAUUUCCUUUUGUGCUUGAAAUGCCUGUAUCAGAUAAGAUAGCUUUUGUUUAAACUGUUAUUUUCAGCCUUUGCUUUGGGGGGUUUUGAAUAUACACAGUGAAGUAACUUGAGAUUUCCUACCCUGUUUUAAAAUGUGUUUCUUCUGUCUGUUUGUAUUUUGUAAUUUCCUGUCAAAUAACCUCACCAUAAUUAACUUUCCUUGCUCCAUCCUACUACUUUUUUUUUCUUUUUCUUUUUUUUUUUUUUAAAGUCAUUCCCACUUCCUGAGGAUGGUAAUAAAACACUGAUUGCAUUCGUCUGUUAUCUGCCUUUUCUUCCCCUCCUUCCCUCCUCUCUCACUCUCUUUGUCGAAGCCAGCACUCAGGUUUCAGCUCCUCAUGGGCUGAGAAAGGCACAUCGUGUAGAGAGGAAGCAAAUCAGACUGCAGGAAUCCAGAUUCAUUAGAGUUUAUUGGGUCAGUCGGCAGCUGGACCAGAGCCAGACAAUUAGGGUGCAUUGCCCAAGAAGCCUGGAUGCAUCACUCUCAUCUCAGAGCUUGUUCUUCAUCUGCAGCAGACACCAUAACACCAGCACAUGUCGGCACAGUGCCCUGCUGCCUGCUGUACAUACAAAGAGAGAAGGGAAAGCAGUAGCAUGCUGCUGCUUCAAAUCACUUUGAACUAACUUUAGAACAAGCUGAUUUGGCUCACUUCUUUUUCAUUAAGUGUGAAGCCAUCUAUUUUUGCAACAGAAUUCUCUCACUGCUCUUCACUAAUUCCUACAAAAAGAACCGCAUGCUAAUACGUCCCCCUGCAGAGCCUAUGGACCGUUUACCUUUAUUCGUCUGUAAUUCUUUAAUCUCUUCCAUUCACCUUCAGCUGCACAUUUCUGUUUCAACUAAAUUCAGUCUCUUACCCCUGUCUUCUCACUCCAACUUCCUUUCCACUGUCCACAAGACCAUACCCCUACAUAUUUGAACAAUUACUCUUUUCUCCUCUUUUUUCCCUUAUCUAUAAACUCAGGAUAAAGCUAGUGCACUCACUUUCUCUCUUCCGCCUUCACCCUGUAUCACAUCCAGCCAAGCUUCUGCCAUUUCACACUGAAUGAAACUGCUCACUACAGUCAUUCAUUCUCUCUUCUCAAGCAAAUACCAAGGACCUUCCUCUACCUUCCUCCAGCAUGGCCUGUCUGGUUCUUUUGACACUGCUUAUCAUCAUCCUUGCUCUGAUGUCUCAUCCUCACUGAGCUUUCAAAUCAUUAUGUCAUUAUUUCAAAUCAUUAAGUCAUUAUUUUUCCUGACAUUGUUCUUUGUUCUGUAUGGCCCACAGUAUCAGUGGGUGCUUCUGAAAGCUGUGACACAUGCUUCUUAGUUCAACAUGUUUGGAUGAUCCCUGUAGCUCAUGAUCUCAGUGCAACUCAGUCUGCACAGAUGGUACAGAUGCAAUUUUCUGACUGCCAAAGCAGCCCACAGUAAUCCGACACGAAGGUGAUGGCAGGAAUGUGUGGUAAGGUACAAGCAGGAUCUACAGCCACUCUGGCUAGCAGUCUAGUAUCAGAUCAAGAGUUCAUGAGAACACGUCAUCAAAAGUCUCUUCUUCUUCUAAGUCAUCUCCUUCGCCCCCUAUACAUGCCUUAUUUUGUCCCCAAAUUUUCAAGUUUCAUAGCUUGUCACCAACAUAAAUUAUCAUGCUUUCCUAACUGAGCACACUCCCUCCAAAACUUCCUUCUCUCCCUUCCACUGAUGCCAGCAAUGGGAUUUCAACGUUUACAGAACAGAAGAUUCAAGAUCACUUGUGUCAUUUCCUUCCCUUCUUCAGAGUACCACAUCCAUCUGCUCCCUUUUAACCCAAUUUUUUCUCAGCAGCUUAAAUCUCUCACUCAGUACUUCACUGAAACCAGUCUGACAGCAUUCUUCCCUUGAGUCUCUAAAAAAUACCGCUGCCUUAUAUCAGGGCACAAAAGGUACAACUGAUGAAUUCAUCCUCCCUUCUCUGUUCAAUCAGAAAACCCCUAAAUGAAUCUCAAAUGAUUUCCUAACGUGGCACUACAUAUAAAGCUCUUUUUACAUCCCCCUUUUUAACAUUUUUCAGUUUUAUAUUUUUAGAACCUUCCUAAAUUGAUACAGUGAUCCUCAAGAAACCACACCACCAAGAAGUGUGACAACACAGAACUAUUCCAGUUCCAGGUAGCUGACACAAUCAAGCAUAAAUCAUUCAGUCCAAAGCUGAACAACAGAUGUUGAAAGAUUUCUGAAAAAUGCUUGCUGUCAUACCUUCGGUUUUCAAGUGAGCAGUUAUAAAGACUACCAAUACCUAUAUAAUAGAGGAACACUGAGUUACCGAAGCUUUGCUUCUUCUACAAUCAGAUUCAUCCUUCCUUCCUGAUGGUCAUUUUGGGUGUUUGCCAUUGCUUGGGUUAGUCUGUUUGUGGGAGGUGGGGGGGCGGGGAGGGGAAUGAGAUGGGGGAGUUCAGGUAUUUUUUACACUGAUUCCACAUCAAAAUUAUGCUUGAUCCCUCCAAAAGCACUAUCCCUCCACAAGCUACUACACUGCAUAGUAGCCCUCCUGCUGUUUGAAAUUUAUGUGGCUGAAUGUGUGUCCUUUUUCUGUGUGUUUAAACAUUACUUGCAAAUUGUCAUUGAGUCUGCAUUUUGGCGAGUCCAACUUUCACCCUGUCCUGAUAAUUUUUUUUCCUUCUUUGGGACUGAGAAUCCAGCCUGCUGGAGAACUCACAGAAACUCCAAAUUUCUGCACUAGCCAGAUCCCUGAACUCUCCAGUGCAGCCAAUAUGCCAACACACAUAAUUCAAGUUUGCUAUCUUUCAAAGGCAACUUUUAAUUAUGAACAUAUUUCUAAUCUUCCCUUCAUUUUACUUCAGUCAAUUCUGCUCACUUGGUCUGAAGUUACUCCCCAUGACUAGCUCUUCUAUGACCACAUCACUAGUUGCUAAAACCUAUACAUUCUUUUAUUCAGGAAGUCCUUUUUUAUUUUUUGGAGGAUUUUUAAGGUUUUUUGUUGUUUUUUGUUUGGCUUUUUUUUAAUGAUCUUUUUUUUUUUUUGUUCACACACACACAAUCUAUUACCUUAUAUUUCUGUUCUUCCUGAACACAGCAACUCACUCAGUGCUACUCUUCCAACAAGACUACUAUUCUGCUAUGUGUCUGUUUUCCUCUACAAUAUUUGUUUUAAUGACUAUUUUGGAUUCUUCCACCCUAUCAACCUGGUAUUUAAGUACAAACCUGGUAUUUAAGCACAACAUUUUUCCUUGUUCAUAACUAACCACAACCAAUUGCCCUGUUGGGCGAUGCACAAACCUUUUAUUAACUGUCCAGCUGAACUGAUUACUGUCCAUGUAAUGUCUACCAGUUUCUUUUUUUCUUGCUGUCCUUCCAUUACUCUUUAUCGUAUCUUUUACCUCCUCCAUUUUCUACACACUCAGGACAUGGUAGGAAUAUUGUAUGAGCAGCUACAGAUCUCUUCCUAUAAUUUCUUAGCAUAUUCAGCUGCUGUAAUAGACUCAGUAUCAAAGACUAAUACCCCACACAGUGAUCUAGGCCAUGCAUUAAGAAGUAGUCUUUCCUUGAAUAGAUCCAUGAAUGUUCUUCCUUGAGUGGAUCAUUGAAUGGAGUAGAAAUACAGCCCAAACCUCCCUCCAGUGUUAUGAGAAGCAUAUAUAAUGGUAAAAUCAUGGCAAAGCGGAGCUGAGAAGAGAUCUGCAUAUCCGGAUGGACUUCUUCAAAGAAAGAGGAAAAGCACAAAAAGCACAGACAAGCUGUUAAAAAACUUAGGGGAUAAGAGAGGGAGG
ensembl:lncRNA